rnacentral:rRNA from 1 species
AUUGAACGCUGGCGGCAUGCCUUACACAUGCAAGUCGAACGGUAACGCGGGGCAACCUGGCGACGAGUGGCGAACGGGUGAGUAACGCAUCGGAACGUGCCCAGUAGUGGGGGAUAGCCCGGCGAAAGCCGGAUUAAUACCGCAUACGACCUCAGGGUGAAAGCGGGGGAUCGCAAGACCUCGCGCUAUUGGAGCGGCCGAUGUCAGAUUAGGUAGUUGGUGGGGUAAAAGCCUACCAAGCCUGCGAUCUGUAGCUGGUCUUAGAGGGCGACCAGCCACACUGGGACUGAGACACGGCCCAGACUCCUACGGGAGGCAGCAGUGGGGAAUUUUGGACAAUGGGCGAAAGCCUGAUCCAGCCAUGCCGCGUGCGGGAAGAAGGCCU